ACGGAUCCUGGGGGAAAGGCCAGCAACAAGGAUCCCAUUUUAGGACACCAUCUUACAUUAAGGCACCAUUUCUCCUUCGGCUCUUCUUGGCUACAACAAUUUCUCAGACUUUCCUUGUUUUGAUGACCUUGACAGUUCUUGAGAAGUCCUGGCCAGUAUUGUUAGAGUAAGAGAUGCGCUAUAUAAGACACGGAUGCCCAAGGAUUCACAUUUUGAUGAAAUGAAGCAUGAAGUUUUUGUUUCCCUGCAGCAGUGGAGUGACACACAACUCAUGAGAAGCUGUUCAUGACCAUUCUAAAAGCAGUGCGCAACAUCUGGUAGAACUGAGAAACUUGCCAGGGACAGUUACAUGUGCCAAGUAAUCUAGAAUCAAUUAUCACCUUGUCAACUGAGUAAAAAUGACUUAAAUGCCCUAAAUUCACUCACUCAUGUGGGUUCUCUGGAACAGUUAACCGAAACCUCAGUUUCAUAAAAUAUAACUACCCCCUCAGUAAGCAUAAUUGUCACAUUCAGUCAUAUGAUCAUUCUGACCAUGUUGAAAAUAACAAGCUUUUUCAUUACGCAAUGACUCUCAGGUUUUGCUUUAUCUUUUGAAUUAAAAAAAUAUUUAAG
rnacentral:lncRNA from 1 species